rnacentral:tRNA from 1 species
AAGAUUUUAAGUUAAUUAAACUAAUAGCCUUCAAAGCUUUAAAUAAAAAUUUUUUUUUAAAUCUUA